rnacentral:rRNA from 1 species
UACAUGGGGUGCAAACGUUGCUCGGAAUUAUUGGGCGUAAAGCGCACGUAGGCGGUUCGCUAAGUCGGAUGUGAAAGCCCUCGGCUCAACUGAGGAAGUGCACCCGAAACUGGCGAGCUUGAGUACGAAAGAGGAUCGCGGAAUUCCCGGUGUAGAGGUGAAAUUCGUAGAUAUCGGGAGGAACACCGGCGGCGAAGGCGGCGAUC